rnacentral:tRNA from 1 species
GGUGGCUCAGCAGUUAAGAGCAUUGGCUUCAUUUCCAAAGGAUCUGGGUUCAGUUCCCAGCACCA